UUAAGCGUAGGAAAGUGUUCAAGUGUGACUGCAAAACCUUAAGGUGAAGAUGUCCUGCAUCAUUCUGUUUCCAUUGCUGCUUCUCCUGUUCACCUCUGCCACUUUGUCUGAGGUCCAGCAGAAAAAGAAAGAAGUGCAGUCUAAGAAGACAGAGCAUUUGACUGUAGAGGAAAGCAGUGCUCUUUUGGCCUCUGGUGACUUUCAGCACAUUUUCGCAUGGAUCCACUCUGAGCUGGUAGAGCUGAGAUCCACUGUGUGUACUCUGAAGAACACACUGCAGGUCACAGAGGAAAAGCUGGGGCAGCUCAAGGGAAAAGAAUAUAAAGUGGCAUUUGCUGUCUCACUUGGAGCCGUGGGGUAACGUCGGACCUUUCACCACUGAUAUAACUCUGGUUUACAAAGAAGUCUUUGUGAAUGAAGGAAGAGCUUACAACAGUGCUACUGGUAUCUUCACAGCACCUGUUAAUGGCGUCUAUUUCUUCACUUUCUCUGGACAUAACCACUCAUCUAAACCUAUGGGUCUAGGACUCUUUAAAAAUGGAAAACAGAUGAUAACUGUUUACAAUCAUCCUCAAGGUGACCACCAUGAAACAGCAUCUAAUUCAAUCUCUUUGACUCUAGCGGAAGGAGAUCAUGUCUAUAUGCACCUCGUGAAAAAUACAGGGGUUUUUGAUAAUGAAAAUGACCACACUACGUUUACUGGCCAAUUACUUUUUUCUCUUUGAAGGUCCUAUUAAAUUCAUGAAGUUCAAUAUACUUCUCAAGUCUCAUCUGCAGGUGUUUAAUUGACUUUUUUAAAUCCUGAUUCA